GGACCCGUAGCCUAGUCUGGAUAGGGCGCUGGCCUUCUAAGCCAGAUACCGUGGGUUCGAAUCCCAUCGGGUUCA
rnacentral:tRNA from 1 species